GCCGUGGUAGCUCAGGGGCAGAGCACGUCCUUGGUAAGGACGGGGUCGGUGGUUCGAUUCCACUCCACGGCACCA
rnacentral:tRNA from 1 species